ensembl:snRNA U6 U6 spliceosomal RNA
GUGCUCACUUCAUCAGCACAUAUACAAUUGGAUCAAUGCAGAGAUUAGCAUGGCCCCUGUGCAAGGAUGACACACAAAUUCAUGAAAACAUUCCAUAGUUUU